rnacentral:rRNA from 1 species
UGAGGAAUAUUGGUCAAUGGACGAGAGUCUGAACCAGCCAAGUAGCGUGCAGGAUGACGGCUCUAUGGGUUGUAAACUGCUUUUGUUUGGGAAUAAUCGACAUUACGUGUAAUGUUUUGCAUGUACCAUUCGAAUAAGGACCGGCUAAUUCCGUGCCAGCAGCCGCGGUAAUCCGGAAGGUCCAGGCGUUAUCCGGAUUUAUUGGGUUUAAAGGGAGUGUAGGCGGUUGGUUAAGCGUGUUGUGAAAUGUAGAUGCUCAACAUCUGACGGGCAGCGCGAACUGAAUGAGUUGAGUACACACAACGUAGGCGGAAUUCAGGGUGUAGCGGUGAAAUGCUUAGAUAUCAUGAAGAACACCGAUUGCGAAGGCAGCUUACGGGAGUGAUACAGACGCUUAAGCUUGAAGGUGGGAGUAUCGAACAGG